GACAACCGGACUAAGUUAAGUUUGCGAAUAGGUUUCAGCUCUUACUCAAGAGUCUUCUCCAAUUCUAAAGAUUUCAGUUGUUUUUUUUAAAUAAAAAUCAGUUUCUAUUUUACAAAGGUAUAGUGUGGUGAAACAGGCCAAGUCUGUCCUGGGAUAAAGUGGAGGAGUGCACAGAAGCUGUUUACAAGAGGGGAACGAGCAGACUCGUUUCCUAAGGAAGCUGAGAUCCUUCAGUGUGUGCAGCAAAAUGUUGGAGCUUUUCCUACAGUUUGUUGUGCUGAGCGCAGCUUACCUCACUGUGGUCUGCUGGAGGAUCAGCAUCGGGGUUGGUGACACCAACAGACUGGAUAAACUGAUCAGGAAGGCAGGCUCUGUGAUUGGCUGCAAGAUGGACACUAUUCUAGCUGUGGUGGAGAGGAGAUCACUGCACAAACUGUGCCAUGGGUCAUGGGUAAUCCUGACCACCCUCUGCAUCACUUACUGGACAGGCAGCAGAGCACCCCAUCUAACAAACUCAGCUGGCACAAAGAAAAUACAUGAAAUCUAUUAUACCA